rnacentral:rRNA from 1 species
ACGGCCGCGGUAUCUUGACCGUGCUAAGGUAGCGAAAUCACUUGUCCUUUAAAUGAGGACCUGUAUGAAUGGUGGAACGAGGGCUUAACUGUCUCCUUUUUCAGGUCAGUGAAAUUGAUCUGCCCGUGCAGAAGCGGACAUAAAUAUACAAGACGAGAAGACCCUUUGGAGCUUAAGACAUACAGUCAACUGUGUCAAACAUUUUACUUAAAAAACUUAAACAAAACAAUAACUGACCCUACGUCUUCGGUUGGGGCGACCGCGGGGGAAAACAAAGCCCCCACGUAGAAUGGGACAUUCCCUAAAACUAAGAGAGACAUCUCUAAGUCACAGAACCUCUGACUAAAAGAUCCGGCAUACGCCGAUCAACGAACCAAGUUACCCUAGGGAUAACAGCGCAAUCCCCUCCAAGAGCCCGUAUCAACAAGGGGGUUUACGACCUCGAUGUUGGAUCAGGACAUCCUAAUGGUG